AUGGGGUUUCACCAUGGUGGCCAGGAUGGUCUCGAUCUCUUGACCUCAUGAUCCGCCUGCCUCGCCCUCCCAAAGUGCUGGGAUUAAAGGCAUGAACCACUGCGCCCAACCUAAUACACAAUGUAAUUUAUAAGAUAGACCGAUACCAACAACUAAUAAAUAAUAGAACAGUUAUAACAACAUUCUGUAACAAAAGUUAUGUGAAUGUGGUCUCUCUUCAUCUCUCAAAAUAUGAUAUUGUACUCAUCUAUUUUCAGACCGCAGCUGACCAUGGGUAACUGAAACCAUGGAAAGCUAAAUUUCAGAUAAGGGAGAACGGUACAGACAUUUUUUUCUUUUUUUCUUUUUUUUUUUUUGAGACCGAGUCUGCCUCUGUCGCCCAGGCUGGAGUGCAGUGGCCGGAUCUCAGCUCACUGCAAGCUCCGCCUCCCGGGUUUACGCCAUUCUCCUGCCUCGGCCUCCUGAGUAGCUGGGACUACAGGCGCUGGCCACCUUGCCUGGCUAGUUUUUUUGUAUUUUGUAGCAGAGAUGGGGUUUCACCGUGUUAGCCAGAAUGGUCUCGAUCUCCCGACCUUGUGAUCCGCCCAUCCCGGCCUCCCAAAGUGCUGGGAUUACAGGCUUGAGCCACCGCGCCCGGCACAUUUUUUUCUUGACCUCAUCUAGGCAGCCUCAGUUUUGUUUUGUUUUGUUUGUUUUUUGAGAUGGAGUCUCCCUCUGUCCCCCAGGAUGGAGUGCAGUGGCCUGAUCUUGGCCUACUGUAACCUCCACCUCCUGGGUUCAGGUGAUUCUCCUGCCUUGGCCUCCUGAGCAUCUGGGAUUACAGGAAGUUUAUUUCGAUCUUUAUCCAGAUUGCUGGUUUUGCAAUGCCUCUUUGCACAAGACUUUCUCAGACUCACUUUGUUGUGUUCCCUCUUGAAUGAGACACUGUUCACUACUCUAGUAGUGGACUAGAAACAUCCCUGUUCACCACUCUAGUAGUGGAAAAACCCUAGUCCUGGAAACCCAAGACGCCUGAAUUGGUUCUUCCCACCCACCCCCCCCAAAAGAGGGAGACACUUUUAGCUUGUAUUUUGGUUUACGGGUUAAAAGUUUUACAUUAGGAUCAGAAUGAUUGCAUCUGGUUUGAAGACUGAAAUUUUAUUUUUAGACAGGGUCUUGCUCUGUCACCCAGGCUGGAGUGCAGUCGUGUGAUCACAGCUCACUGCAGCCUUGACCUCCUGGACUCAAGCAAUCCUCUCUCAGCCUCCCAGAGUGCUGGGAUUACAGGUGUGAGCCAUGCACCUGGGCCUAAGAGUUGAAUUUAUAAAACCUACUUAAAAUUACUGUCUUUAUAAAACCGUAAGAAAUUAGAACCAGAAGUUGCCUUAAAGAUCUAGUCUAAUCAGUCUAAUCUCAUUUUGUAGGAAGAUUUGCUUGUAAUACCUGUAGGAGAUGGCAAAGUAGAACGUGUAACCCUGGCCACGGUGGCUCAUGCCUGUGAUCCCAGCACUUUGGGAGGCUAAGGCAGGUGGAUUGCUUGAGCCCAGGAGUUUGAGACCAGCCUGGACAACAUGGCAAAACCCCAUCUCUAAAAAAAAAAAAAA
ensembl:lncRNA